GGGGGUUCAGGCCAGGCAUGGUAAUUAUUUGGAAUUGAAGACAGUCAUGGCCAGUAGACUCAGAAGAAAGCAAGAAUGGAGGUGUAGGAGGCUAAGCGCUGUCAUCUCAAUAAAAAGAAAGCAUCAACCAUGGGAAGAGGAAUGAAACCACCAAAGAGAUAAAAUGAUUCUAUGAGUUGAUGUCAGCCAAGUGUUAUCAUGGCCCACCCCAGAACUGGCACAAUGGGCAUAUGAAUGGAAUGGCCAUGUUUGUAGAGACAGAAGCUACUGAGCCCAGCACGAAAUCCCACCUACCAAGGCCAGUAGAGCUACUCCUGCCUUGGAAGGUCUAGCUUGCCAGCAACAGAGACAAAC
ensembl:lncRNA